UGAAGCAAAAUCCUUUCUGUUUUAAAUAAUCUACAAUUAAAAAUUGAUGACAUGACUUUUGUUGUUUUUUUUCCAUAGCUGUGUGCGGAAUUCAAGGGAUCACUGGAUGGAUGCUCCAUCUGCAAACCUGAUGAAGGCAUUUAGUACCUAUGACUGAGGAUUCUGGCAUUGAUGUCUGCCACGAAUGUGCUCUCCUCUCAAGGGACUGUGCCUAUAUGAAUGAAGACCCUUAGAGCGUCGUGAAGGAAUGCAUGCCAGGUGUUCGUAGUCACACGGCCACGGCAGAGACCAUAUAUGGCAUCAGAUGGUCGCUGUCGCCCCCCCCCAGAGGACAUUUGGAUCGUUCUUGAGGCCAUAGGAGCUACGUAACGUACCAUUUGCUUUUGGACUGUGUUUAGUUAUAUGAGCAGCUACAGUUUCUACUUUCUAAACAAUGUUUGAUUGUAUCUGUUAUGUGAAAACACACAAUAUGCACUUCAGUGAGCAUUUAAAUGUGCACUUGAACCCUUAACAUGCAAUAUAGCUUUACAAUAUUGUGAUGGGGUUUUUUGUAUGUUAGGCUCUUUCAAUAUAAAAGUUGAAUGUUGUGCACUUAAACCGUAAUGUGAAUAUAAGGCUUGAAAUACAGUUUGUAUAUCAAAAAACAUCUUUGUAUGUUAUUUGUUUCAUCUUUUAGGCCCGUCAUUGCAUAAUG